rnacentral:rRNA from 1 species
AUUGAACGCUGGCGGCAUGCCUUACACAUGCAAGUCGAACGGUAACAGGUCUUCGGAUGCUGACGAGUGGCGAACGGGCGAGUAAUACAUCGGAACGUGCCUAGUAGUGGGGGAUAACUACUCGAAAGAGUGGCUAAUACCGCAUGCGAUCUACGGAGGAAAGCAGGGGAUCGCAAGACCUUGUGCUACUAGAGCGGCCGAGGGCAGAUUAGGUAGUUGGUGGGAUAAAAGCUUACCAAGCCGACGAUCUGUAGCUGGUCUGAGAGGACGAUCAGCCACACUGGGACUGAGACACGGCCCAGACUCCUACGGGAGGCAGCAGUGGGGAAUUUUGGACAAUGGGCGCAAGCCUGAUCCAGCAAUGCCGCGUGCAGGAUGAAGGCCUUCGGGUUGUAAACUGCUUUUGUACGGAACGAAAAGCCCCGGGUUAAUACCCUGGGGUCAUGACGGUACCGUAAGAAUAAGCACCGGCUAACUACGUGCCAGCAGCCGCCGCGG